AUUGAACGCUGGCGGCAGGCCUAACACAUGCAAGUCGAACGGUAACAGGAAGAAGCUUGCUUCUUUGCUGGCGAGUGGCGGACGGGUGAGUAAUGUCUGGGAAACUGCCUGAUGGAGGGGGAUAACUACUGGAAACGGUAGCUAAUACCGCAUAACGUCGCAAGACCAAAGAGGGGGACCUUCGGGCCUCUUGCCAUCGGAUGUGCCCAGAUGGGAUUAGCUAGUAGGUGGGGUAACGGCUCACCUAGGCGACGAUCCCUAGCUGGUCUGAGAGGAUGACCAGCCACACUGGAACUGAGACACGGUCCAGACUCCUACGGGAGGCAGCAGUGGGGAAUAUUGCACAAUGGGCGCAAGCCUGAUGCAGCCAUGCCGCGUGUAUGAAGAAGGCCUUCGGGUUGUAAAGUACUUUCAGCGGGGAGGAAGGGAGUAAAGUUAAUACCUUUGCUCAUUGACGUUACCCGCAGAAGAAGCACCGGCUAACUCCGU
rnacentral:rRNA from 1 species